rnacentral:lncRNA from 1 species
UCCCUCUUACUUUUAUUCCCAGUUCUUAAUUCUCUGGAGCACUGAUUGCUAUUACUUCUUGUUGGAUAAUCUGUGAGGAGAACUGCUGUAGCUUCCUAAAUAAGGCUUUUGAAAGAGCCAGUGGUUUGUCAGAAAAACAUGUGACUAAAAUCCCUCUUUAUUGGCAACAGGACCUUGGGCAAGUCACUUCAACUCAUUUAACUUUUGCUUCCUUCUACUUAAAAAAAUUCUGCACCUGUCUGCCUUUCCCAUAGGCUGUGGCAAAGUCAAAUGAGACAGUUCCCAUGGAAGGACUUGGAAGCAGCAAAGGCUUAUAUGAAUGUCAGAUGUUAAAAGUAGCACAGAGCAUGUUGCUAUCAUCGAGCCCUAUCAUUCCUGAAAUAUAGUUACCAAAAGUGAAAUCUUAAAAGGAAGACUUUUCUUGAUAAUUUUACAAAUACUAUCUUGGUUUUCCUAAGAUUUCUAAAUAAUCAAGGAAAGGAGAAUAAGGAAACCUCUGAAGACCUAGAUCUUUUGGUGGGAAGAUGGAAUUUGAGCUGAGAUCUGAAUGAAAGCCACCAUUUGGAAUGUGCAGAGAGAGGAUGUGGAAAUCUUAAGGGGCAAAUAAAAGGAAGAAAUGAAAAAAAGUACAAAAGUAUGGAGAAGAAUAUUGUGGAAGGCAGGAUCAAGGUAGGCAGAUUCAGGUAAGAGUGGGAGGUAAGCUGUGGCCUGGUGUGAGGUGAGGUUGGAGAGGCAGGCAGAGCCCGUGGGAAAGGUAGGAUGUUGUACAUCACCAUAAGCAGUCUGGCG